UUUAAUGAGAGUUUGAUCCUGGCUCAGGACGAACGCUGGCGGCGUGCCUAAUACAUGCAAGUAGAACGCUGAGGUUUGGUGUUUACACUAGACUGAUGAGUUGCGAACGGGUGAGUAACGCGUAGGUAACCUGCCUCAUAGCGGGGGAUAACUAUUGGAAACGAUAGCUAAUACCGCAUAAGAGUAAUUAACACAUGUUAGUUAUUUAAAAGGAGCAAUUGCUUCACUGUGAGAUGGACCUGCGUUGUAUUAGCUAGUUGGUGAGGUAAAGGCUCACCAAGGCG
rnacentral:rRNA from 1 species